rnacentral:rRNA from 1 species
GACGAACGCUGGCGGCGUGCUUAACACAUGCAAGUCGAACGAAGAGCGAUGGACGCUUGCUUCUAUCAAUCUUAGUGGCGAACGGGUGAGUAACGCGUAAUCAACCUGCCCUUCAGAGGGGGACAACAGUUGGAAACGACUGCUAAUACCGCAUACGAUCUAAUCUCGGCAUCGAGGAUAGAUGAAAGGUGGCCUCUACAUGUAAGCUAUCACUGAAGGAGGGGAUUGCGUCUGAUUAGCUAGUUGGAGGGGUAACGGCCCACCAAGGCGAUGAUCAGUAGCCGGUCUGAGAGGAUGAACGGCCACAUUGGGACUGAGACACGGCCCAGACUCCUACGGGAGGCAGCAGUGGGGAAUCUUCCGCAAUGGACGAAAGUCUGACGGAGCAACGCCGCGGGAGUGAUGACGGCCUUCGGGUUGUAAAGCUCUGUUAAUCGGGACGAAAGGCCUUCUUGCGAAUAGUGAGAAGGAUUGACGGUACCGGAAUAGAAAGCCACGGCUAACUACGUG